rnacentral:rRNA from 1 species
CAUCGCCUCUUGAUAUACAAACAUGAGAGGUCCCGCCUGCCCUGUGACCACAAGUUUAACGGCCGCGGUAUUUUGACCGUGCAAAGGUAGCGUAAUCACUUGUCUUUUAAAUGAAGACCUGUAUGAAUGGCAUAACGAGGGCUAAGCUGUCUCCUCUCCCCAGUCAAUGAAAUUGAUCUUUCCGUGCAGAAGCGGGAAUGAAAACAUAAGACGAGAAGACCCUAUGGAGCUUAAGACACAAGGCAGCAAACGUUAAGACCACUGGACAAACAGCUACAACCAAGUUGGCGCCUGCCCCUUUGUCUUUGGUUGGGGCGACCGCGGAGGAACAAAAAUCCCCCACGUGGAACAGGACCUGCUCCUCAAGACCAGAGCCUCAGCUCUAGUGAACAGAACAUCUGACCAUAAAGAUCCGGUAAUACCGAUCAACGGACCGAGUUACCCUAGGGAUAACAGCGCAAUCCCCUUUCAGAGCCCAUAUCGACAAGGGGGUUUACGACCUCGAUGUUGGAUCAGGACCCCCUAAUGGUGCAGCCGCUAUUAAGGGUUCGUUUGUUCAACGAUUAAAGUCCUACGUGAUCUGA